AAUCGGCACGUGUGCAGAGCUGGGGAGCUCACAGUUUAAAGGGAGACACACUCACAGAGCGUUUGUGUACUUGGAAUGCCCUGUGAGAGGAGUCUGACCGGGGCAAGUGCUGGGCAGAGGUGGCGCCGAGGAGGAGAUGGCUGGUUCUUCCUGACGGAGUCAAGGGAAGACUCAAAAGGUGAGCAGGAGCGCCCCAGCUGGCUGCAGGGGUGAGAUGUGAACACAGGCUGAGGUGUGAGAGGGCCAUGUUAGGGAUUGAAGGUCACUGGUGUGGCUGGCAUGUGCUGUGUGCACACAUGGUUGUGAGUGUGUGUGCAUGCAUGUGUAUCUACGUGUGUGAGCAUGUGGUGGGUACAAAGGUGUGGGUGUGAACAUAUGCUGUGUGCAAACAUGGAGGGCGUGUGUAUGCACCCCUGUGUGCCAAUGUAUGUGUAUGUGAGUGUGAGAGCAUGUUGUGUGGGUGUGUGCAUGCAUCCCUGUGUAUGUGCCUGUGUAGGGGUGUGUGUGUGUGAGAGAGAGGAUGUGGCAUGGGUGUGUGUAUGCACCCCUGUGUAUGUGUCUGUGUAGGGGUGUGUGUGUAUGUGUGUGUGUGAGAGGAGGUGGUAUGGGUGUGUAUGCACCCCUGUGUAUGUGCCCAUGUAUGUGUGUGAGCAUGUGGCAUGGGCAUGUGUAUGUGCCCUCAUGUAUGCAUAUGUGUAUGGAAGCAUGUGGUGUGGGGACGUGUAGGCAUCCCUGUGAAUGUGCCCAUGUGUGUAUGUGUGAGAGAGAGACAGCAUGUGGUGUGGGGGUGUGUACGUGCCUGUAUGUGUAUGUACAUGCAAGCACGUGGUGUGGACGUGUGCAUGCACCCUGUGUAUGUGUCUGUGUGUAUGCAAGUGUGAGGAUGGGUGUAUGUGUGUCCUCUUGUGUACAGUGCAUGUGAGCACGUGGUGUGGGAGUGUGUCCUCUUGUGUAUAGUGCAUGUGAGCACGUGGUGUGGGUGUGUGUCUGUGCCUGUGUCUGUGUAGAUGUGUGUGUGAGACAGCAUGUGGCAUGGGUGCAUGUCUGUGCCCUUGUGUAUGUGUGUGUGAGCAUGAGGCCUGGCAUGUGAGAAGCAGAGGGAAAAGCUGCAGAUCAAGGCAAACCUGUAUCUGACAGUGAAACAAGCAAACCAACCCAUCAUCUUUUUCCCCUAGCAGGCUGGAGGCCACUGGUGGAUUUCACGAGGGAGGCUGAGAGCAUCAGCUUUGUCUCUGACACUGAAAAGGUUGCUGGAAAGCAGCCGCGAGUGGCCUGACCCUGCACGCACGGGCCCACCUCCCCAUGCUCCCCUGGCUUGGGGCUUUCUUUCUCACACCAUCAUGAGCUCCCUUCUUCUGGGCUGCCCCCUGCCAUUCCAGCCCUUUCUGACCCCUCGUCUGAAUUUCCCAGGCCGUAGGCAAGCACCCAAAGCAUAUCAUCAGGUGCCCACAAGGCACAGGACACCAGGCCGACACCUGGAGCUGGGGUGGGGUGAGAGCUGCAGAGGAGGGGGCAAGAGGCCUCCUUCAUGCCAGGCCUGGACCAUGAAGAGGAAACCACUUUCUGUCCCCAAGGAGCUCAAGUCUGAUGGGGAAGGAGCCACUGGAGUGGACGGAGGUGAGUUUGGCUGCUCAGCACUGGAACCCCUUCCUACUGGGGACAAUCCCAAGAUGGCGGGAUCUGGGCCAUGUCACUGUGGGGGCCCAGGGGAGGUAGCUCCCUGGUAGCUGGUGUGUGGCCAUGAGGCCUGGACUUGGCCGGUUGGGUGCUCUGGCCCUGGACUUCGAAGUUCCAGGAAGGAAUGCAAAGACAGUGAUGGCCAUGGUGGCCGUGAUGAACUUGCAAAGCUAUGCUCCCCCAGGGCCUGGGCAGGCUCUGCCAUAAGUGGCAUUUAUCAUAGGCCUGACAUAUCCAUGCGUCUGUCCCAGUCAGGGCCUGGGAUGCCAACCACAGGACCCAGCUCUGUCAGUGAAGCAGAAAGGUUGUGCCUGGUCUCCCUGCGUCCCAGGCCAAUCCCUCCUCCUGGGUGUGUGAUCUUUGCCUGCUGAAUCCUGUCUUCCAGUUAGCCCGCGAGCUCAGGUAGGUGGAGCCGCCGCCUUUCCCUCCCCCGAUAUUCCCAGAGCCCUGUGCAGCCUCUGGCACUCACUGGGCUCCACGUGACGAUCUACACGCCUGAGACCCCAGAUGCAGGAAGGAGAGGCCUAACUGGGCACACGGCCCAUGCUCUGGGGCCUUCUGGCUCAAUUCUCCCUGCAUGGGACCUUUCAUGGGUCCCUACCAUUUCAGCUGAGCUUCUGGCUUUACUGACACCCCUCUCUGCUUGGGUCCCUACCCACAUGUAUUUAACUUGACAGUCUGUUUUUCUUGGAAGCAGAACCUACCAGAUUCUGUGAUAAUACCACGGCCCUGUUUUUACAAAUCCAAUGGACACAGUUACCCAAGAGUUCCUGUCCUGCGCUGGCGGGGCCAGGCCUGUGUACUCGGCUGCAGCCCUGGGUUCUGGGGGCCUCAGCUCUAAAUGAGCCGGGCACCGGCCACUGUGUUCAGAGGCUGACUGGGGGUGGCAGGGCAGCCACACAGUGGGGGGACCAUCCCCUACGUGAACACAAACACUGAGAAGGACCAGUCUCCCCAACAGGCUGUGUCCAGCACGGGCCACGGGUGCUGCUCACGGGGCACCCAGCACUCAGGGAGCCCCCACUGUGUGCCGGGCCCUGUGCAGGGGGCAGAAGUGAUGCAACAACCUGGCUUUCUGCCCUCAGGGAGUCUUCUCUGCAUGUACAGUUAUCUACUCUGUGGGGCAGGACUGUGUGGAAGGGAAACGGAGGCUGCGUGGGAGCCUGGAAGAGGAGGGUGGCACCUAGGCUAUUCCCUCUGCCAGGGAAUUCCUUCGCCCUCGUUCAGAAAACAUCUACCCAUUUGGUAAGAUCAGCUGCCACUCUGUGGUCCCAUCACACUUGGCUCAGCACUCUGCUGAGUCUGUUUACUUCUCUCUGGACCAGGGGUGGCUCAUGGACAGGGACUCCCAGCACUGAGCACCCAGCAGGGGCAGAGAGGUGUCUGCUGGCUGAGUGAAUGACCCUGACCAAAUGGGAAGAGAGACGCCUUCCUGGCCUGGGGGCACUGAGAUGCUGCAGCCUGGCCGCGUGGGGGUCGUCAUCAGCUGAGUCUGCGGUCCCCUGUGGUCACACAGGACCAGGUCCUCCUAGACUCCACAGCCCCCGGCCCAGGGAUGAGGAAGGUGCUGCUCGGCCCACCAUGGGCCACAGCCUUCCUGCUCAGCUCAGCCUCGGUGGUGAAUAACGCUGCCCCUGCUGUGCCACUUCCGGGCUCUCUGGGCUCCCACACUCUGCUGUGGAGGCCCAGGCUGGCUCCCUCUCGGGGUGGGUGCUGCCUCUGGAGGGUGGAGGUGAGGGGAAGGGACUGAGGGUGGCCCUGCGGGGCCUUGAUGGAGCAGCAGUGGGGACCAUGCACCUCUGAGGGUCUGGGUGAGUGGGGGCUGCAGCCAGGCCUGGCUGGCCUGGGGGAUCAGGAGGGUCUGCAAACCAAGCUCUGGGGCUCCCUGAGGUUCCAGGAAGAACCCCGCCUGUCCCAGCAAAGGUGGAUCCAGGAGAGGAGUGGGCUUGGCCACCUCGGCUGCCACCAGAAGCUGCCCCCUCAGCUCCUAUCUGUUCCCCUCUGCCCCGGGAACUUCUGAAACCACUUCCUUCCUCCCUGGACUUCUGCAGGCCGAGGUAUGACUGUUCUGUCUCCCGUUAGCAAGGUCUGCAACAUUGCUCUGAGCAGCAUCCUCCAAUGUGGUGCACCUGCUCGACAGGGGUGCAAAGGUAGGUGCUGGGGUGGGGGCAGUCAUGGACUUGCUCCCCACUCCGAAAAGCUCUCACUCCUCAGGAAAGCUCUCAAAAGCAGAGCCUGCAUCUGACUAGUCUCUGCACCCCAGUGCCUGGCAUAGCUUCUGGCCUCAGGUAGGUUUCAGGUAAGGUCUGAAUGAGUGAUUGAGGGAAACAGGUGCUGGCUUGGAGAAGAUGCUGUGGGAUAGACGGCACUGAGCUGGGUCUUAAAUGGACAGGGUUUGAGCCACCAGCCAUGCAGGAAGGGCUAUCCACAAGCAGAGACUCAAGGUAGGGAAGCACAGAGUGACCAGGGAUGCUACAGUUGGGCCAGCUGGGUGCGGGACGAUGGAGGGAAGAUGUCAAACAGGGAGGAGGAGAAAAAAAUAAUGCAGAGAGGGGCAGGACCGUGGCAACGACUGAACUGAAGUGCUUUAGGCAUUUCCAGAAAUCCAGUGUUCUUCUUCCCUCGGCAGCGCCUACCAGGGAAAGCAAAAGCCUGCAAGCCUGAGUGCCUGGCCCGCUCCUGGCCUGGAAAGAGGAACAGAGGGAGGACGGCGGGGCUGGGUGGUCUCCCGAUCACAAGCAUACAUUUCCCAGGCAUCUGGGCAGUGAUGGAAUUGUCAACCUGGAAGUCACCUCGAAGGAGAAAUGACCAUGUUCCUCAGAUAGAACAGACCCCGGGCCCCAGGGUGGAGCACGCACUAUCCAUGAACUCAGGGUCCUGGGGUGGAGUCCAGGGCCCUGGGUGGCAGGGCCAGGAGGAGCAGCCGGGUCUACACAGGAUGGCACUGUGCAGUGGUGGUGACGCUGAGCAGGGCCUGGUGAGCACUUGCUGGGUGAUCGCCACGUGCUGGCGCUGGCACUGGCACUUCACACUCCUCAUUGCUUUUGAGUUUUGGGAGAGGUGCAGUGAGGUGACCUGCCCAGAGGAGGGAGGCUGAUCUGAUCUGACAUCUGCCAUAGGCCUGUCCUGUCUCACAUUGGUUCCUGGCCUGUGUACUGGGCUCACCUGGAGGCUUUAAAAACAUACUGAGGCUCAGGCUUCACCCCACAAGUUUCUGAUUCAAGAGUAUGUUUUUGCCUUUUUGUUCUCACUCCCAAAGUGUCCGGAUCUGUGCUCAGAGCUCAAAGAAAUUUACUGAAAAAAAUAAAAUUAAGGAACGACAGCUCAAAGAGCCAGCAAUUUAUGCAAAUGAAUGCAAAUAAAUACACACUUCCAUACAUAUGUUUAUGCAAAUAUUCUUGUGGUCCUUGCAAAUCACUCACCCGCCUGCAAGCAGCCACCUAUGAAUUCUUGGUGAGAACCCCGGGCAGAGUGCCCGGGUUAAUGACAGGUGGUAUCACGACCUCCCAGAACAGACAUCUCUAUUAGCAAACUCAUCCCAGAAGUCCCCCAGGGAACCUCACUGAGCCUGACUCUGCCCACCACAGCCCCCUCCCCUACUCACUCAGGACUCAGGGCUCUCUCAAGGCCACUGGCCAGGGAGGGAUUGGGAGCAACUGCCCAGUAGGCACUCCAAGGCCACCAGGGCUGGGCACAGAGAGAAGGGCCCUGGCAACUGCCAGGUGCCUUAUAGCUGCUGGGAGGACAGCUGUGACCACAGAGGGUCGGGCUGCCUUUACCUCUGUGCCAGUCUGGGUGGGCCAGCCUGUGGCUGAGCACUUGAUCUUGGGUGCUCCACAUGCGCUGUCUGCCUGACCACACCCUACAGCUCACUUUCAUAAAGCAGGAGGCACUGGACUUCAGAAGGAAACUCACUCAGUCACGAUCAGAGGUGAGUGCCCCAUGCACAUUUCCUCAAUGGACGCUCCUUGCAUAUCCAGCCCUCAUUUGCAACCCCUUCUGCCGGGCUUUGCGGAACAGUCAUGGUCUCCAUAACUUCAAGGCACCCUUGCUUUGUUGCCUCCAGGAUAAGCAACUUCUGCAACCUGCUGGCUUUUGGCCUUGGUCCCCGAGAAAGACUGAGAGGAACUGCUCUCUUCCCACAGGUCACCGCACACUGUAAUGUCCUCCCCAAGCUGAGGCUGGGCACACUGCUCUAGUUGCUGCCUGGGGUGGAGGGAGCUUGGCAAGGGGGUUGGGAUGUGGCUCUGAAGAUCCACCCGAGACCCCUGCCCUGGUUUUGGGGAUCCUCGCUCAGCUUGUCUUAGGCGGCCUUGGAAAAGGCACAUGCAACUUGUGAUUUCUCUAGUUGCUGCAUCUGGGAUGUGGAUGCUGUCAUCAUUUGGGAGGCUUUGGGGAGCUCAAAUAUGAGGCCCCUGAGGGCAGGGAGUUUGGUUUGUUGUGCAGGGUAGGUGCUCAGUACAUUUUUGUUGACUGAUGUAUAGAAUGAGUUUUUCCUCCACAACACCUAUGCCUCAAUAUUUUCUCCAGUUGUCCUUGUGACUUCACAACUUGGGGUGAAGUGUGGGCCUGUCCCACCAAGGUACUCAUCUCUAAGAGGGCAAGAAUGGAAAGUGUCCCCCAUGGACCCAGUAUACAGCUCAUAUUUGGAAAAGGUUCUUGAUAUGGUUUGGAUAUUUGUCCCCUCCAAAUCUCAUGUGGAAAUGUGUUGGCGGUGGGGCCUGGUGGGAGGUGUCUGGGUUAUGGGUGCGGACCCCUGGUGAAUAGCUUGGUGCAGCUCUCACGGUCAUGAGAGGCCUCUCCGUCUAUUAGCUCAUGCUAGGCCUGGCUGUUUAAAGAAGCAUGGUGCCCCUUCCCUCUCUCUUCUGUCUGCCCUCACCUUGUGAUGCCUGCUCCCCUCUGCUCUCCACCAUGAGUAGAAGCUGCCUGAGGCCUCCAAAGAAGCAGAUGCUGGUGCCAUGCUUCCCGUACAGCCUGCAGAACCAUGAGCCAAAUCAACCUCUUUUCUUUAUAAAUUACCCAGCCUUAGGUCUUCCUUUAGAGCAAUGCAAAAUGGACCAGGACAGUUCCCUAGUUGAAAAGGUAAGCUCAUUUAAGCAUGGGUCUCACUUUUGGCAGGGGUACUGGUGGUAGGGAGAUGGCAGAGGGGUGUCAAACCCUUCAGGCCAUGAUGGAAUUUGAGUGACUAGUGUCCCAUUGGGCACCAGAAGUCAGUUCAGGUAUGAUUCUGUCUCACCAAAGGCCUGUGACAGCAACUUUUUCAAGCAUAGAAAUCUCUGGGCCCCUGGUGACAACACAUCCCUCCAAGCCCUGCGCCCCUCGUAGCAAUCCAGCCCUUCAAGCUGUAACACAAGGUGGAUUCCAGUCCAGUGGAGAGAAAUCUGCCAUGUGGUGUCAGGAAACAGGCUGGCCUCACUGUCCUCAAUCCUAGUUCUUGUUGGUCCAACUUUUCAGGAAGAAAAAGAGCUCUCACACUCAGAACAUUCUCCAUCUGAGUACCAGCGGCUCUAGCUCAGCCACCAGCCACCCGAGUCACCACCCAGGCACGUGAGAGAGGCCCAGGCCGUGGAGAGCACUAUCUCUGUGCACUUUUAAAGGGCAAUUUUAUUCUUUAAUUACCUCAGGCUGGCCCUUCACCUCCUCAGCUUUUCUAGGCUGUUUGGGAGAUUCCCUAUGGCUCCCGUCACUCUGUGGUUGUGGGAAAAGGGACAAAGGAGAUAAGGCAUCUCCUUUGGAGGGGAAGGGGAGUGAUUGGCCCCGGAGCCUCCUGGCUGGUUGGUGGUUGGCCCUGCCAAUGAGUCUGGGGUCUGUCCCAUGGCAGGCUGCUGUCUUGAAGGACUGGCCCUCACCCACAUGCCAGCCCUGGGCACAGCGGGUGCUGCCCUCCUCUUUGUGGAAAACUGGCUGGAAGGGGAGAGGUGCAGGGAGGGCCCACUGGAUACAUGUUUAUUGUUAACUGGACUCAUCAAACUGAUGGCAAACAAACCCAAGACUGUUAGAUAACAUCUAUCCCCGCCUCCUGGCCCUGGGUAAACAUGUUCUGUGCGGUGAUCUUGCUCAGGGUCACCCAGGAUCUAGAGUUGAGACCCCAGGCCAGUCCAAAGCCCAGAAUCCAGAGACAGGAACAAACUCAGAAUUUACAUCCACAGCUCAGAGCUUAAAAUUUAGAACCCAAAGCCCCAGCCAGAGCCCAAUGUUUGACAUAGUUCAACCAGAGGCUAAUGUCGACCUAAAAUCCUGGCACUGAGACACCUGGACAGAGUCCCAAGAACCCUCCCUGCCCCAGUGUGCUGGAAAGUUCCCUCUGCUGCCUUGAGCCAUCUGAUUGGCACCUGACAAUGUGCAGUGUAUUAAUCAUGGUCAGGGCUUUUCAACAUGCAAUAAAAAGCUUUUUAAAACGUUCCGAUGGGAGGUGAUUAACUCUAUUAAGUGGCAUUACGGAUCUUCCUAUCUGUUGCUUUCAUAAACAUAGUUGUAGGCGCAAUGUUUUAUUAUGGGCAUAAAAAUGUCCCGCAUUACAAUGCAUAAGCGCAUAUUGAUGUUAUAUUUCUGUAGUGUGCCAGGCGCCCCAGUCCCCAACCACUCAGAAAAGAAACUACACGUCUUAAUAAUUUAUGUUCCAAGUUUUAACCAGGAUUAUCAAUGGCAGCUUUUGAGCUUUCUCUUUUGGCAACACAAUAGAUCAUAGUAAAAAUGCACCGACAAGCGAUGUGUCCGUUUGAUUUUUUCCACCUGAAUCAGCAGCCCAAACUCCAGACACAGCAGUUUAGGGCAACCAGCACACUGAAGAAUUUAAGUCUAAGCAUUUAAUCUGUUCUUUCCAUAAAUUUCUGCUGCUUGUGCUUUAUAAUGAUUCUACCAGAGGAAGUUUAUUUAUAUCGCAGAUUUUCAGCAUCAGCACAUUGAGAACACAACGGCAAUCGCUCAGUCAAUAGCUUACAGCCAUGUAUAAUAUCACUCCGGAAAUCAAAAGCCCAUUUGGAGAAAAGAAGGCUCAGAUUAAAGUCACUUUAAGACAUCAAUAACUUGGAACUGGCUGAAGAGAAGUUAUAAAUAUCCAGGGUGCGCAUAUGCAAAUAGGCGCUCGCA